rnacentral:rRNA from 1 species
AGUGAACGCUGGCGGUAGGCCUAACACAUGCAAGUCGAACGGCAGCACAGUAAGAGCUUGCUCUUACGGGUGGCGAGUGGCGGACGGGUGAGGAAUACAUCGGAAUCUACUUUUUCGUGGGGGAUAACGUAGGGAAACUUACGCUAAUACCGCAUACGACCUACGGGUGAAAGCAGGGGAUCUUCGGACCUUGCGCGAUUGAAUGAGCCGAUGUCGGAUUAGCUAGUUGGCGGGGUAAAGGCCCACCAAGGCGACGAUCCGUAGCUGGUCUGAGAGGAUGAUCGGCCACACUGGAACGGAGAAACGGUCCAGACUCCUACGGGAGGCAGCAGUGGGGAAUAUUGGAAAAUGGGCGCAAGCCUGAUCCAGCCAUACCGCGUGGGUGAAGAAGGCCUUCGGGUUGUAAAGCCCUUUUGUUGGGAAAAAAAAGCAGCAGGUUAAUACCCCGCUGUUCUGACGGUACCCAAAGAAUAAGCACCGGCUAACUUCGU